UUUACGGGCCAUAGCACCCUCAACGUGCCUGAUCUCGAGUCGGACCUGGGAAGCUAAGCAGGGUCAGGCCUGGUUAGUACGGGAGGGAUGAAUGGUUAGACGCCAGGCAGA
rnacentral:rRNA from 1 species